CUACGGGAGGCUGCAGUGGGGGAUAUUGCACAAUGGGCGAAAGCCUGAUGCAGCAACGCCGCGUGAAGGAAGACGGAUUUCGGUCUGUAAACUUCUAUCAGCUGGGAAGAAAAUGACGGUACCAGACUAAGAAGCCCCGGCUAACUACGUGCCAGCAGCCGCGGUAAUACGUAGGGGGCAAGCGUUAUCCGGAUUUACUGGGUGUAAAGGGUACGUAGGCGGUCGCUUAAGUCAGAUGUGAAAGCCCGAAGCUCAACUUCGGGACUGCAUUUGAAACUGGGUGACUAGAGUACAGGAGAGGAAAGCGGAAUUCCUAGUGUAGCGGUGAAAUGCGUAGAUAUUAGGAAGAACACCAGCGGCGAAGGCGGCUUUCUGGACUGUAACUGACGCUGAGGUACGAAAGCGUGGGGAGCGAACAGGAUUAGAUACCCUCGUAGUC
rnacentral:rRNA from 1 species